UACGUAGGGUGCAAGCGUUGUCCGGAAUUAUUGGGCGUAAAGAGCUUGUAGGCGGUUUGUCGCGUCUGCUGUGAAAUUUCGGGGCUCAACCCCGAACUUGCAGUGGGUACGGGCAGACUAGAGUGUGGUAGGGGAGACUGGAAUUCCUGGUGUAGCGGUGAAAUGCGCAGAUAUCGGGAGGAACACCGAUGGCGGAGGCAGGUCUCUGGGCCACUACUGACGCUGAGAAGCGAAAGCAUGGGGAGCGAACAGG
rnacentral:rRNA from 1 species